UUCCAUUCUGUUAUUUCUGUGUCCUUUUCUACCUCUGGAAAUUGAACUUUUGGAGCUUUUGGAUGUGUUUGAUGUCGAAGAGGUUUUUGCUGAAGAUGCUGUUGAAAAUGCUUCACUCAUCUGACUCCUGCUACUGACUGAACUUGGGAAAUCAUGUUAGAGAUGGUAUAUUCACAAAUCACAACACUGUAUAUAGCAAGCACUAAAUUGAUUUGACAAUGAAGUCUUGAUAGAAUCACAGUAGAGGAAGUGAUUGUAGCUAGAAUGGGUCCAGAAACAGGAGCAGGAGUGACACCUCAGCUAGAAGAUUCCUGUUCUGAGGUGUGGUUCUCUUGGAAGCAGAAGAUAUUGGAGAGAAAUCUUCUCAUUGUUCUGUCAUCGUUAGGAAAAUUUCAUACAAAUUGUCAAAGCACCUGUAUUCCAAGAUGUUUUAAAUUUGCCAUACACAGGCCUCUCAGCGAUUAUUAUCUGCUGUUCUUAAAGAGCAAGAUUCAAUCAGGCCUAAAUUUUGAUAAGGGUAAAUUGUCUUUACAUUCACAUAAUUCCAAGUUCUCAUCGUUCUUUUCCUCUCUCCUUUUUUGCAUGGUGGAGAGACAAUUUGUCAAUUGUUUUCUCUAACUUUUUUGGGGAAUUUUGAUGAUAUUGCUAAUUGUUCCUCUUGUUGUUCUUUUCCUAUCAUGCUCUGUAUGGAUUGAAAGAUCUCCCAUUGGUGUGAUUUUUACCAAGUGUUCCAUCCACACUGUGAGCUACUUAAUUGAAUGGUCUGCGUCCCAGGUGGUGAAACACAAGAGGUGAACAACAAGGGGAGCGACAAGGGCAAGCAAUCUAGCCAACCUCUUGUUUGAAACUUGUUGGGUGUUAUGACUAAAUCCCACUUUGAUUGUGAUGAUGGAUGACUUACUCCUAGGAGAGAGUUCCAAGCUGAAAAGAUCAUCUUCUGGUGUCCCUGGUCUCAUUGCAUCAUCUGUUGUCUUUGGUGAUGUCUCAUCAUCAGGCGUCCCUGGUAUCAUCUCAUCAUAUGUCACAGAACUGUUCCGGCUUCGAACUGUGUGCAUAUUGUUGGUGUCUCUGUCUCUUGGGCCCCUCAACUCUUCAACACUGUCAUCACGCUUCAUCCUUGAAAUUCCACAUGAUAGCUUUUCCAGGAAAUAUUUCUUAUCUUUCUUCAUCUGUCUGCAACACUGUUCGAGUUAGGAAAGAAACUAUAGAAAGAUGAUUGUAUGCCCUUGUAAAGCACUAAUAUUUCUGGAAUAAAACUAUCAAAUUGCCAAUGCU